AUUGAACGCUGGCGGCAGGCCUAACACAUGCAAGUCGAGCGGAGCGGCGGACGGGUGAGUAAUGCCUAGGAAUCUGCCUCGUCGUGGUGGAUAACGUUCGGAAACGGGCGCUAAUACCGCAUACUAUCAGAUUAGCCUUGGUCGGAUUAGCUAGUUUGUGGUGUAAAGGCCUACCCGGGCGACGAUCCGUAACUGGUCUGAGAGGAGGAUCAGUCAAAUUGGAACUGAGACACGGUACAGAAUCCUACGGGAGGAAGCAGUGGGGAAUAUUGGAAAAUGGGCGAAAGCCUGAGGCAGCCAUGCCGCGUGUGUGAAGAAGGUCUUCGGAUGGUAAAGCACUUUAAGUUGGGAGGCGUUACCAGCAGAAGAAGCACCGGCUAACUUCGUGCCAGCAGCCGCGGUAAUAC
rnacentral:rRNA from 1 species